GCCUAUGGGGGGCACCAGUGGGGAAUUUUUGGCAAUGGGCGAAAGCCUGACCAAGCAACGCCGCGUGGGUGAUGAAGUAUCUUGGUACGUAAAACCCUUUCGGCAGGGACGAAAAAAAUGACGGUACCUGCGGAAGAAGCCCCGGCUAACUCCGUGCCAGCAGCCGCGGUAAUACGGGGGGGGCAAGCGUUGUUCGGAAUUACUGGGCGUAAAGGGCGCGUAGGCGGCCUGCUAAGUCAGACGUGAAAUCCCCAGGCUCAACCUGGGAACUGCGUCUGAUACUGGAUGGCUUGAAUUCGGGAGAGGGAUGCAGAAUUCCAGGUGUAGCGGUGAAAUGCGUAGAUAUCUGGAGGAACACCGGUGGCGAAGGCGGCAUCCUGGACCGACAUUGACGCUGAGGAGCGAAAGCCAGGGGAGCAAACGGGAUUAGAUACCCCGGUAGUCCUAGCCCUAAACGAUGAAUGCUUGGUGUGGCGGGUAUCGAUCCCUGCCGUGCCGAAGCUAACGCAUUAAGCAUUCCGCCUGGGGAGUACGGUCGCAAGGCUGAAACUCAAAGGAAUUGGCGGGG
rnacentral:rRNA from 1 species